CUACGGAGGGUGCAAGCGUUAUUCGGAAUUACUGGGCGUAAAGCGUACGUAGGCGGUUCGUUAAGUUAGAUGUGAAAGCCCCGGGCUUAACCUGGGAACUGCAUUUGAAACUGGCGAACUAGAGUUGAGUAGAGGGGAGUGGAAUUUCAGGUGUAGCGGUGAAAUGCGUAGAGAUCUGAAGGAACACCAGUGGCGAAGGCGACUCCCUGGACUCAAACUGACGCUGAGGUACGAAAGCGUGGGUAGCAAACGGGAUUAGAUACCCUAGUAGUCC
rnacentral:rRNA from 1 species